GCAUCUUCAUUUAUUCAAAAAUCCUUUCAACUCAUAAUUAUUGAAUCCUUCACAUGUAUCAAGAUCAUGUUCACAAAUGCAAAUGGUGUGUUUUACCCACCAUCUUUCCAGCAUCCAUGCCAGUAUGUACUCCCUUUGGAAUAGUCACUGUUGGAGACAGGCAUCAAGAGAUUAUGCAGUAUAUUUAUGUCUUGAUGGACUGGGAUCUUCUCAAAGUAGAGAACACUCAAGGAGGUUCAGUCACAAAGCAUUCCCUGUCUUUGGGAAAUAUUCUUGGCAUGGUGACCUCUGCCUUACUGCCUUAAAUGGGCUCUUCUGAAGAUAAAGCAGUUCUCAUGAAAGGCCUCUUAAAGUAAAAAUUGCUGUUCAACUGCAAGGUGUUAUUUAUUCAACACACCAGCAAUGGAAAUUUGUGUCAGCUGUGUACUAUUUACAGUCACUAGCAACAUGUAUCAAAUCUCAAUUCUUCCCAUGAAAUCCAAAGCUCAAAAUCCCAUUAAAGAUACUUAAAAACAUCAAAUCCUCCCUAUAAUUAAUAACAAUGAUCGGGCAUAAAAUUCUCAAAAAUAGACUUAUCUUUAUUCAGCAACACCAAGUACUAAUGAGAAACUGAAGGAAGUAGAUAAUUAUAGACCAGAGUCUCCUUUGCCACUCUAAAGAGAACCAAGAACAUGAGCAAAUUGAAGCCUUCCUCAUGUGACAAGUGUACUAUCUCUGAGUGUUGACACUGAGACCUCAUCUUUUUUCCACUGAAGACAAGCAAUGUCACAGUGCAUACCACCCUGCUACUUUUUCAGGGGCUGGAUGCACUUCAGGAGAUUCUUUUAACUUAUCUGUAGUGUGUCUCAAUCAGCAAUAAUUCUUUGUUCAAUGGCAUGCAGAUGAUCAGCUGGCAUUUUGUGGAGUUCUUCAACUCUUGGGACUCGUGUGUGUGUGUGUGUGUGUGUGUGUGUGUGUAUGCCUGUGUGCUAUGGUGUGCAAUGAUAGGAAACUUUUACAUUAAAUGCUUUGUUCUACACCAUUUGUUGUGUUAGAAAUAUUCUAGGAUUUCUUGAUUCACGAUAAAAUCAUGGCCUUUACCUAGGAGUGGCUCAUAGUCUAAUAAGAAAAAAGAAUAAAAUAAGUUAAUGAGUAAUGAUCAUGACAGGUUCAUUUCCAGGAUGAAGGGGAGUCUGAAGAGCUGCAGGGGUGAAGUGGAGAGGAAUCCAUCUCAGUAUA